UAGUACGAGCACUGAAUACAA
rnacentral:piRNA from 1 species